UUAAGCGACUAAGCGUACACGGUGGAUGCCCUGGCAGUCAGAGGCGAUGAAGGACGUGCUAAUCUGCGAAAAGCGUCGGUAAGGUGAUAUGAACCGUUAUAACCGGCGAUGUCCGAAUGGGGAAACCCAGUGUGAUUCGUCACACUAUCGUUAACUGAAUACAUAGGUUAACGAGGCGAACCGGGGGAACUGAAACAUCUAAGUACCCCGAGGAAAAGAAAUCAACCGAGAUUCCCCCAGUAGCGGCGAGCGAACGGGGAGCAGCCCAGAGUCUGAAUCAGCUUGUGUGUUAGUGGAACGGUCUGGAAAGUCCGACGGUACAGGGUGAUAGUCCCGUACACCAAAAUGCACAGGUUGUGAACUCGAAGAGUAGGGCGGGACACGUGGUAUCCUGUCUGAAUAUGGGGGGACCAUCCUCCAAGGCUAAAUACUCCUGACUGACCGAUAGUGAACCAGUACCGUGAGGGAAAGGCGAAAAGAACCCCGGCGAGGGGAGUGAAAAAGAACCUGAAACCGUGUACGUACAAGCAGUGGGAGCACCUUCGGGUGUGACUGCGUACCUUUUGUAUAAUGGGUCAGCGACUUAUAUUCUGUAGCAAGGUUAACCGUAUAGGGGAGCCGCAGGGAAACCGAGUCUUAACUGGGCGUUAAGUUGCAGGGUAUAGACCCGAAACCCGGUGAUCUAGCCAUGGGCAGGUUGAAGGUUGGGUAACACUAACUGGAGGACCGAACCGACUAAUGUUGAAAAAUUAGCGGAUGACUUGUGGCUGGGGGUGAAAGGCCAAUCAAACCGGGAGAUAGCUGGUUCUCCCCGAAAGCUAUUUAGGUAGCGCCUCGUGAACUCAUCUUCGGGGGUAGAGCACUGUUUCGGCUAGGGGGUCAUCCCGACUUACCAACCCGAUGCAAACUACGAAUACCGAAGAAUGUUAUCACGGGAGACACACGGCGGGUGCUAACGUCCGUCGUGAAGAGGGAAACAACCCAGACCGCCAGCUAAGGUCCCAAAGUCAUGGUUAAGUGGGAAACGAUGUGGGAAGGCACAGACAGCCAGGAUGUUGGCUUAGAAGCAGCCAUCAUUUAAAGAAAGCGUAAUAGCUCACUGGUCGAGUCGGCCUGCGCGGAAGAUGUAACGGGGCUAAACCAUGCACCGAAGCUGCGGCAGCGACACUAUGUGUUGUUGGGUAGGGGAGCGUUCUGUAAGCCUGCGAAGGUGUGCUGUGAGGCAUGCUGGAGGUAUCAGAAGUGCGAAUGCUGACAUAAGUAACGAUAAAGCGGGUGAAAAGCCCGCUCGCCGGAAGACCAAGGGUUCCUGUCCAACGUUAAUCGGGGCAGGGUGAGUCGACCCCUAAGGCGAGGCCGAAAGGCGUAGUCGAUGGGAAACAGGUUAAUAUUCCUGUACUUGGUGUUACUGCGAAGGGGGGACGGAGAAGGCUAUGUUAGCCGGGCGACGGUUGUCCCGGUUUAAGCAUGUAGGCUGGUUAUCCAGGCAAAUCCGGAUAAUCAAGGCUGAGGUGUGAUGACGAGGCACUACGGUGCUGAAGUAACAAAUGCCCUGCUUCCAGGAAAAGCCUCUAAGCAUCAGGUAACAUCAAAUCGUACCCCAAACCGACACAGGUGGUCAGGUAGAGAAUACCAAGGCGCUUGAGAGAACUCGGGUGAAGGAACUAGGCAAAAUGGUGCCGUAACUUCGGGAGAAGGCACGCUGGUGUGUAGGUGAAGUCCCUGCGGAUGGAGCUGAGACCAGUCGAAGAUACCAGCUGGCUGCAACUGUUUAUUAAAAACACAGCACUGUGCAAACACGAAAGUGGACGUAUACGGUGUGACGCCUGCCCGGUGCCGGAAGGUUAAUUGAUGGGGUUAUCCGUAAGGAGAAGCUCUUGAUCGAAGCCCCGGUAAACGGCGGCCGUAACUAUAACGGUCCUAAGGUAGCGAAAUUCCUUGUCGGGUAAGUUCCGACCUGCACGAAUGGCGUAAUGAUGGCCAGGCUGUCUCCACCCGAGACUCAGUGAAAUUGAACUCGCUGUGAAGAUGCAGUGUACCCGCGGCAAGACGGAAAGACCCCGUGAACCUUUACUAUAGCUUGACACUGAACAUUGAGCCUUGAUGUGUAGGAUAGGUGGGAGGCUUUGAAGCGUGGACGCCAGUCUGCGUGGAGCCAACCUUGAAAUACCACCCUUUAAUGUUUGAUGUUCUAACGUUGGCCCCUGACCGGGGUUGCGGACAGUGUCUGGUGGGUAGUUUGACUGGGGCGGUCUCCUCCCAAAGCGUAACGGAGGAGCACGAAGGUUAGCUAAUCCUGGUCGGACAUCAGGAGGUUAGUGCAAUGGCAUAAGCUAGCUUGACUGCGAGCGUGACGGCGCGAGCAGGUGCGAAAGCAGGUCAUAGUGAUCCGGUGGUUCUGAAUGGAAGGGCCAUCGCUCAACGGAUAAAAGGUACUCCGGGGAUAACAGGCUGAUACCGCCCAAGAGUUCAUAUCGACGGCGGUGUUUGGCACCUCGAUGUCGGCUCAUCACAUCCUGGGGCUGAAGUAGGUCCCAAGGGUAUGGCUGUUCGCCAUUUAAAGUGGUACGCGAGCUGGGUUUAGAACGUCGUGAGACAGUUCGGUCCCUAUCUGCCGUGGGCGCUGGAGAAUUGAGGGGGGCUGCUCCUAGUACGAGAGGACCGGAGUGGACGCAUCACUGGUGUUCGGGUUGUCAUGCCAAUGGCACUGCCCGGUAGCUAAAUGCGGAAGAGAUAAGUGCUGAAAGCAUCUAAGCACGAAACUUGCCCCGAGAUGAGUUCUCCCUGAGACUUUAAGUCUCCUGAAGGAACGUUGAAGACGACGACGUUGAUAGGCCGGGUGUGUAAGCGCAGCGAUGCGUUGAGCUAACCGGUACUAAUGAACCGUGAGGCUUAACCUU
rnacentral:rRNA from 1 species